GCAGCCACCGCAACAAUGGAAGCCACCAUAAGAUUCCUCCAUCUACACCCCAAAACCAAACCCACUUUCCCUCGUUUCUUCUCGUCUUCAUCAAAUCUUGAACACGAUCAUGCCCCAACCACCCUUCAGAACCACUCUACCACCAAUAAUAAACAUAAUCUCUACCCCUUAAACCCUUCUCGUUUUCUCCAUCGCCAACCAAAAUCUUUCCUCCAUGAUUAACAUGCCAUAAUAAUAACAAUCUUGAAGAUGAAGGAAAUAGAACUGAGGUAUAAUUUCAG
rnacentral:lncRNA from 1 species